rnacentral:rRNA from 1 species
UACGUAGGGUGCAAGCGUUGUCCGGAAUUAUUGGGCGUAAAGAGCUCGUAGGCGGUUCGUCGCGUCGGCUGUGAAAUCCCGGAGCUCAACUCCGGGUCUGCAGUCGAUACGGGCGGACUCGAGUUCGGCAGGGGAGACUGGAAUUCCUGGUGUAGCGGUGAAAUGCGCAGAUAUCAGGAGGAACACCGGUGGCGAAGGCGGUGGGCUGGGCCGGUACUGACGCUGAGGAGCGAAAGCGUGGGGAGCGAACAGG